rnacentral:tRNA from 1 species
AGGGCUAUCGCCAAACGGUAAGGCAUCAGACUUUGACUCUGUUAUUUCCGGGUUCGAAUCCCGGUAGCCCUG